rnacentral:rRNA from 1 species
GACGAACGCUGGCGGCGUGCUUAACACAUGCAAGUCGAACGGAAAGGCCCUGCUUUUGUGGGGUGCUCGAGUGGCGAACGGGUGAGUAACACGUGAGUAACCUGCCCUUGACUUUGGGAUAACUUCAGGAAACUGGGGCUAAUACCGGAUAGGAGCUCCUGCUGCAUGGUGGGGGUUGGAAAGUUUCGGCGGUUGGGGAUGGACUCGCGGGUUAUGAGCUUGUUGGUGGGGUAGUUGCUUACCAAGCGUUCGACGGGUAGCCGGCCUGGGAGGGUGACCGGCCACAUUGGGACUGCGAGACGCCGCAGAAUCCUACGGGAGGCAGAAGUGGAGAAUAUUGCAGAAUGGGCGGAAGCCUGAUGCAGCAACGCCGCGUGCGGGAUGACGGCCUUCGGGGUGUAAACCGCUUUCGCCUGUAACGAAGCGUGAGUGACGGUAAUGGGUAAAGAAGCACCGGCUAACUACGUG